rnacentral:rRNA from 1 species
GAUGAACGCUGGCGGCGUGCCUAAUACAUGCAAGUCGAGCGAACAGACGAGGAGCUUGCUCCUCUGACGUUAGCGGCGGACGGGUGAGUAACACGUGGAUAACCUACCUAUAAGACUGGGAUAACUUCGGGAAACCGGAGCUAAUACCGGAUAAUAUUUUGAACCGCAUGGUUCAAUAGUGAAAGACGGUCUUGCUGUCACUUAUAGAUGGAUCCGCGCUGCAUUAGCUAGUUGGUAGGUUAACGGCUUACCAGGGCGACAAUGCCUAGCCGACCUGACGGGGGGUUGGCCCACACGGAAGCUGACACACGGUCCAGACCCUAAGGGAAGGCCGCGGAGGGAAAUCUACGGCAUAGGGGGAAAUCCUGAGGAAUCAACGCCAGGUGGUUGUGGAAGUGCUUCGGUUGGUAAACUCUGUUAUUAGGGAAGAACAAAUGUGUAAGUAACUGUGCACAUCUUGACGGUACCUAAUCAGAAAGCCACGGCUAACUACGUG